AAAAAAUCCCCCAAAAUCCCCCCAAAAUUACCGCAACCCCCCCAAAAUCCCUCAAAUCCCCCCCACCCCCCCAAAUUUCCCCGAAAUUUCCACAAAAUUCCCCCAAAAUCCCCCCAAAAUCACCCAAAUUUUCCCUCAAAUUCCCCAAAAUUCCCCAUAAUCCCCCAAAUUUCCCCCGGAUUUCCACAAAAUCUUCCCAAAAUCCCCCCAACCCCCCCCCAAAAUCCCCCAAAAUUCCCCAAAAUCCCCCCAAAAUUCCCCAGAUUUCCCCAAAACCCCACAAAUUUUCCCCAAAACCCCCUGAAUUUCCCCCAAAUUUCCCCAAAAUCUCCCCAAAUCCCCUCAAACUUCAUCAAACUCCCUCAAAAUUCCCCAAAAUCCCCCAAAUCCCCCAAAAUUCCCCAAAAUCCCCCCCAAAAUCCCCCCAAUUUUCCCCCAAAUUUCCCCCGAAUUUCCCCAAAAUUCCCCCCAAAAUUCCCCAAAACCACCCAAAUCCCCCACAAAAUCCCCCAAAUUUCCCCAAAAUACCCCCAAAAUGCCCCAAUUUUCUCUAAAAUCCCCCAAAUUUCCCCCGAAUUUCCCCAAAAUUCCCCCCAAAAUUCCCCAAAACCACCCAAACCCCCCCCGAAAUCCCCCCAAAAUCCCCCAAAUCCCCCAAAAUCCCUCAAUUUCCCCCAAACUCCCCCAAAAUUCCCCAAAUUUUCCCCAAAUUUCCCCAAAAUCUUCCCAAAAUCCCCCAAAAUCCCCCCAAAAUUCGCCAAAUUUCCCCCUAAUUUCCCCCAAAUCCCCUCAAACUCCCCCAAAUUUCCCCAAAAUCCCCCAAAUUUCCCCAAAUCCCCCCAAAUUCCCCUCCCCACCUUGCAGUAGCGGCAGUAGCGGCAGACGGAGCCGGGCCGGUACCGCCCUUCGGCCUCACCUUCCUCCUCCUCCUCCUCCUCCUCUUCCUCACUCCCUGUGUUGGGGGAUGGGGUCAGAUGUCCCCAAAAUUCCCCAAAAUUCCCCAAAAUUCCCCCAAAAUCCCCCCAAAUCUCCCAAAAUCCACCCAAAAUCCAUCCAAAAUCCCCCAAAAACCCCCCAAAAAAUCCCACCUUCCUCCUCCUCCUCUUCCUCACUCCCUGCGUUUGGGGGAUGGGCUCAAAUAUCCCCAAAAAUCCCCAAAAUUCCCCCAAAAUUCCCCCAAAAAUCCCCCAAAAAUUCCCGAAAAAAUCCCCAAAAAAUUCCCACCUUCCUCCUCCUCCUCCUCCUCCUCCUCUUCCUCACUCCCUGCGUUCGGGGGAUGGGCUCAAAUAUCCCCAAAAAUCCCAAAAUUCCCCCAAAAUCCCCCAAAAUCCCCCAAAAUCCACCCAAAAAUUCCCAAAAAUUUCCCACCUUCCUCCUCCUCCUCUUCCUCACUCCCUGCAUUUGGGGGAUGGGGUCAAAUGUCCCCAAAAAUCCCCAAAAUUCCCCCAAAAACCCCCAAAAACCCCCCCAAAAAUUCCCACCUUCCUCCUCCUCCUCUUCCUCACUCCCUGCGUUGGGGGGAUGGGCUCAAAUAUCCCCAAAAAUCCCCAAAAUUCCCCCAAAAAUCCACCCAAAUCCACCCCAAAAUCCACCCAAAAUCCCCAAAAUUCCCCCAAAAAAUCCCCAAAAAAAUCCCACCUUCCUCCUCCUCCUCUUCCUCACUCCCUGCGUUCGGGGGAUGGGCUCAAAUAUCCCCAAAAAUCCCCAAAAUUCCCCAAAAUCCACCCAAAAAUUCCCAAAAAAUUCCCACCUUCCUCCUCCUCCUCUUCCUCGGAGCUGUGGCCGCCAUCUUCCUCUUCCUCAUCUUCAUCAUCGUCAUCGCUGCCUUCCUCCUCCUCCUCCUCCUCAGAGCUGGGGGGGCUGCGGCCUUCAUCAUCAUCAUCAUCGUCAUCGUCGUCAUGGUGAUGGUGGCCUUCAUCCACCCGGGCUUGACCUUCAUCAUCAUCGUCAUGGCGAUGGUGACCUUCAUCCACCCUCGGUUGGCCUUCAUCAUCGUCGUCAUGGUGAUGGUGGCCUUCAUCCACCCUCGGUUGACCUUCAUCAUCAUCGUCAUGGUGAUGGUGGCCUUCAUCCACCCUCGGUUGACCUUCAUCAUCAUCGUCAUGGUGACGGUGGCCUUCAUCCACCCUCGGUUGGCCUUCAUCAUCAUCGUCAUGGCGAUGGUGGCCUUCAUCCACCCUCGGUUGACCUUCAUCAUCGUCAUGGUGAUGGUGGCCUUCAUCCACCCGGGCUUGACCUUCAUCAUCAUCGUCAUCAUCGUCAUCCUCAUGGUUGCCAUGGUGAUGAUGAUGAUGGUGGUGACUGGGGGAGCCUUCAUCGCUUUGAUGAUGAGGAAGGUGAUGAAGGUCAGCGGGGGAGCCUUCAUCCCCCUGAGGAUGAUGAUGGAGGGGGUCAGCGGGGGAGCCUUCAUCCCCCUGCUGAGGAUGAUGAAGGUCACUGGGGGAGCCUUCCUCACUCUGCUGAGGAUGAGGAUGAUGAUGAAGGUCCUCCAGGGCCGCCCCCACCCCGAGGAGCAGCAGCAGUAGGAGCCACAGCCUGGCCGGAGCCAUGAGUGACCACUGAGUGACCACUGAGUGACCGCUGGGUGACCACUGACCGCUGAGUGACCACUGACCGCUGGGUGAUCAAUGAGUGAUCGAUGAGUGAUCAAUGAGUGACCACUGACCGCUGAGUGACCACUGACCGCUGAGUGACCACUGACCGCUGAAUGACCACUGACCGCUGAGUGACCGCUGACUGCUGGGUGAUCAAUGAGUGAUCAAUGAGUGACCGCUGAGUGACAGCUGAGUGACCGCUGGGUGAUCAAUGAGUGAUCGAUGAGUGAUCAAUGAGUGACCGCUGAGUGACCACUGAAUGACCAUAGAGUGACCGGUGCCGAAUGACCACGGAGUUACCAGUGCUGAGUGACCAUGGAGUGACCGCUGGGUGACCGCUGACUGACCACAAAGUGACUGCUGGGUGACCGCUGAGUGACCAGCACAAAGUGACCGGUGGGUGACCACGGAGAGAUCACAGAGAGACCUCAGAGUGACCACAGAGUGACCGCUGAGUGACCAUGGAGUGACCAGUGCUGAGGACUGCUGAGUGACCACGGAGAGACUUCAGAGUGACAUCAGAGUGACCACGGAGUGACCACUGAGAGACCUCGGAGUGACCGCUGGGUGACCAGUGCUGAAUGACCACGGAGUGACCUCGGAGUGACUUCAGAGUGACCGCUGAGUGACCGAUGGGUGACCUCAGAGUAACUGCUGAGUGACCGCUGAGUGACCCCUGUGAGACCGUUGACUGACCGCUGGGUGACCACUGAGUGACCGCUGCUGAAUGACCACAGAGUGACCGCUGAGAGACCUCGGAGUGACUGAUGCUGAAUGACCACGGAGUGACCAGUGCUGAGUGACCGCUGAGUGACCGCUGGGUUACCAGUGCUGAAUGACCAUGGAGUGACCACUGAGAGACCGCUGAGUGACCGCUGAGUGACCAGUGCUGAAUGACCACGGAGUGACCGCUGAGUGACUGGUGCUGAAUGACCGCUGAGUGACCAGUGAUGAAUGACCUCAGAGUGACAUCAGAAUGACCACGGAGUGACCACGGAGUGACCGCUGAGUAACCGCUGAGUGACCUCUGAGUGACCGGUGCUGAGUGACCUCAGAAUGACGUCAGAAUGACCACGGAGUGACCGAUGAGUGACCGGUGCUGAAUGACCACGGAGUGACCAGUGACAAAUGACCACGGAAUGACCACUGAGUGACCGGUGCUGAGUGACCGCUGAGUGACCGCUGAGUGACCGCUGGGUGACCAGUGACGAAUGACCACGGAGUGACCACUGAGAGACCUCGGAGUGACCGGUGCUGAAUGACCACGGAAUGACCACAGAGUGACCGCAGAGUGACCUCGGAGUGACCGCUGAGAGACCACAGAGUGACCACUGACCACGGAGUGACCGAUGAGUGACCGCUGAGAGACCAAUGAGUGACCGCUGAGUGACCGCUGACCGCUGAGUGACCACUGAGUGACCAGAACAGAGUGACCAGCACCGAGUGACCACAGAGUGACCACAGAGUGACCACGGAGUGACCAGCACAAAGUGACCAGCACCGAGUGACCGCCGAGUGACCACAGAGUGACCACAGAGUGACCACAGAGUGACCACAGCAGCUGCGCCCCUCCCCCACCGCGGGACCCAAAAAUAGACACGGGGGGGGGAGGGGAAAUCGAGGAGAAAAACCCAAAAAUUCAACAUUUUGAUCCAUUUUUUGGGUUUUUUUUUCACAUUUUGGGGUGUCCCCAAAUUUGGGAGGGGGGGGGUGUCAAAUUUAGGGGGGGGUCACCCCAAAUUUGGGGGGUGGGGGGGUUGAAAUCGAGGAGAAAACCCCAAAAAUUCAAUAUUUU
ensembl:lncRNA